CCUCUCGGGGUUACAGCCUUGCUGAAUUAUUCACCCUUGUCUUUUGCGUACUUCUUGUUUCCUUGGUGGGUUCGCCCACCACUAGGACAAACAUAAACCUUUUGUAAUUGCAAUCAGCGUCAGUAACAAAUUAAUAAUUACAACUUUCAACAACGGAUCUCUUGGUUCUGGCAUCGAUGAAGAACGCAGCGAAAUGCGAUAAGUAGUGUGAAUUGCAGAAUUCAGUGAAUCAUCGAAUCUUUGAACGCACAUUGCGCCCUUUGGUAUUCCAAAGGGCAUGCCUGUUCGAGCGUCAUUUGUACCCUCAAGCUUUGCUUGGUGUUGGGCGUCUUGUCUCUAGCUUUGCUGGAGACUCGCCUUAAAGUAAUUGGCAGCCGGCCUACUGGUUUCGGAGCGCAGCACAAGUCGCACUCUCUAUCAGCAAAGGUCUAGCAUCCAUUAAGCCUUUUUUUCAACUUUUGACCUCGGAUCAGGUAGGGAUACCCGCUGAACUUAAGCAUAUCAAUAAGCGGAGGAA
rnacentral:rRNA from 1 species